rnacentral:rRNA from 1 species
AGAGUUNGAUCCUGGCUCAGAACGAACGCUGGCGGCAGGCUUAACACAUGCAAGUCGAGCGCCCCGCAAGGGGAGUGGCAGACGGGUGAGUAACGCGUGGGAACAUACCCCUCGGUUCGGAAUAGCUCAGGGAAACUUGAAUUAAUACCGAAUACGGUCGAGAGGCGAAAGAUUUAUCGCCGAGGGAUUGGCCCGCGUCCGAUUAGCUAGUUGGUGAGGUAAUGGCCCACCAAGGCGACGAUCGGUAGCUGGUCUGAGAGGAUGAUCAGCCACAUUGGGACUGAGACACGGCCCAAACUCCUACGGGAGGCAGCAGUGGGGAAUAUUGGACAAUGGGCGCAAGCCUGAUCCAGCCAUGCCGCGUGAGUGAUGACGGCCUUAGGGUUGUAAAGCUCUUUCGUCAGGGACGAUAAUGACGGUACCUGAAGAAGAAGCCCCGGCUAACUUCGUGCCAGCAGCCGCGGUAAUACGAAGGGGGCUAGCGUUGUUCGGAAUUACUGGGCGUAAAGCGCGUGUAGGCGGGUCUUUAAGUCAGGGGUGAAAUGCCAGGGCUCAACCUUGGAACUGCCUUUGAUACUGGAGAUCUUGAGUCCGGGAGAGGUGAGUGGAACUGCGAGUGUAGAGGUGAAAUUCGUAGAUAUUCGCAAGAACACCAGUGGCGAAGGCGGCUCACUGGCCCGGUACUGACGCUGAGAUGCGAAAGCGUGGGGAGCAAACAGGAUUAGAUACCCUGGUAGUCCACGCUGUAAACGAUGGAUGCUAGCCGUUAGGCAGCUUGCUGCUUAGUGGCGCAGUUAACACUUUAAGCAUCCCGCCUGGGGAGUACGGUCGCAAGAUUAAAACUCAAAGGAAUGACGGAA